GAUGAACGCUGGCGGCGUGCUUAACACAUGCAAGUCGAACGGAAAGGCCGAAGCUUGCUUCGGUACUCGAGUGGCGAACGGGUGAGUAACACGUGGGUGAUCUGCCCUGUACUUCGGGAUAAGCUUGGGAAACUGGGUCUAAUACCGGAUAUGAGAAUCUCUUGGAUGGGGGUGUGGAAAGCUUUUGGGGUAUGGGAUGGGCUCGCGGCUUAUCAGCUUGUUGGUGGGGUAUUGGCCUACCAAGGCGUCGACGGGUAGCCGGCCUGAGAGGGUGUACGGCCACAUUGGGACUGAGAUACGGCCCAGACUCCUACGGGAGGCAGCAGUGGGGAAUAUUGCACAAUGGGCGGAAGCCUGAUGCAGCGACGCCGCGUGGGGGAUGACGGCCUUCGGGUUGUAAACUCCUUUCGCAACCGACGAAGCUUUUGUGACGGUAGGUGGAGAAGAAGCACCGGCUAACUACGUG
rnacentral:rRNA from 1 species